rnacentral:lncRNA from 1 species
UGCACACUCAGCACACGCCUGCCACACAGCGUGCGCUUGCGUGUCACUCUGGCACGAAACCUGUCUGCCUCUGUGGAUCCACAGCCUGGCAGAGCCGAGCCGUCACCUGAUUUUUCAGUGUUUCUACCUGUGUGCUGGAGCUCAUGAGUAUUUUAUAAACUCCAUUUAGGUACUUCAGGAAACAUGCAGCAUUUUUUAAAAAAUGAAAAUUGUUUUUCUACUUCAUUUUUCCUUUUAGAGUCAAAGGAUAUUUAUUUAUAGGCCUUUUUUUUUUUAAUAUAGAAUCUGAGGCUGUUUGGGCUUUGACUUAAAUUUCCAUCAGGCCUCUCUCCAGCAGAAUUAGAAACCCAUCCUUCAAGCACAAUAAUCAUCACAGACUUGAGUUUGCUUCCUAAAGCAAAGGCUCCGGGUUUGUUUGGAAAAUUUUUUUGAUUUCUGAAAUGAAUUGAUUUUUAUAUUUGGGGCAUCUCUAUAGAAAGUGACCACCAAGGCCAGUAAGUACGGGAAAAAAUGUUUACUAACUUCCUCAGAGAUUCGUGAUACGCGUUUCUCCACUGACAGACAUUUAAAAACAACCUUCAGCUCCGUUUCAAUCAAUCACCUCGACUUGUUUUUUAGCAUGGACACUGCCAGCAGGACAGACAGGGAUGGAGUAAACCGAAGUCAAUUUCAGGGCUCUUGGCGUGUUGGACACAGAAGAAAUCCUAGUGCAGCCUUUGGUAGCUAACAGUCACUGAUUUUAUAAUUGGAGAAUGCGUAAAGAUUCAUUUUUCAAGGAGAAGAGCCUGCAAAUGGCCAAUGAAGGAGGUAAAUAAACUAAGAUAUUCCGAGGGAAGGGACCCAGGCCACCUCCCUUCCGCAGGUCUGCAGAUGAAGGGUUUUUUGAAUGAAAUGCCACUGUGCAUUUUCAGAAAAAAAAAUCUCUGAUAAACAGACUUUGAAUGGAUGUUUGUUCCUCCUGAUUCUCUUUUCUCUUCGUGGCGACUUAGAGUUGGCGGAUAUUCGGAACUGUGAAUGUACAUAGCGUUGAGUUAAACCCCUUGUGUGUGAGACAGGACGCAGCGGGCCCCUGGUGGCCUGGGGGCCAGACCCGUGGGCA